UUUCUAUUUAAAGCCCCUCUAAAAACAAAAUCAUAAACAUUUCUGCUCUCUUUUUUUCAAGCAUUAACAUACUGUCCGACGUAGUUUUUAUUUUUCGACAGCCAAAGGAUGUUUGAAUUAUUUGUGCUAGGGUGUACUGGUGUUGUGAUGUUCCUACAUGGAGCCAAUUUUUUCUUCCAUGGUCUCUCUCAUAGUUCUCUCAGCUUCUUAGGAUUUGUUGGUUGGUAAAGAAAUGUCGAGAAUGAUGAGCUAAAGGAAGCUUGCACGAACCGCCAUGCUUUUUGUAAAUUAUAUAAUAUUGGUUUAACUACUUAAUUUUUUUCUUUUUCAUUUAAGGGUAGAUAUUAUUAUAUUGUUGUGGUCCACAAUAGAAAAUGAAAGAGAAUACCUAUGAUAAGAAAAUAUAAUUAGUAUCCUGUAAAUUGUAAUCAUUGAGAGGCUUCGCCUUAUUUGAAGUGUACUCUGCUUAUUAGAUGACUCUAGACAGUUGUAUUAUCAGAUAACUUUUCAUUCUAUCAGAAGUUUGUAUCUUUAAA